AUAAAAGAUUUUGCAGAAUAACACACUCUAAAUCUGAAUAUGGUUAUGUUAUGUUUUCAGUUUACAGUUAAGUAUAGAUUUUUGCUUGCAGUUAUUUUCUCUUAAUUAUUUCUUUCCUUCAUUAAGGGUUUUCUAUUUUAUUUUUAUUAGCGUGCAUGGACAAGAGAAGGGACACAUUUCGUUGUUUCUAGAGAUUAAUACAGAACAUGCCUUGUGAAGACUGAGUCUGGUUGUGAUUUACAAAGUUGGAGCAACAUAGCCAGUGAGUCUUUCAGGCAGCCCUGACAGCAGAAGCAAGCCAUGAAAAAUGACACAGGCUUCCUUAUACCAGAGUCUUAUUACCAUUUUGAUUUCAAAAACAGUGUUGGGUGUCAGUAAACUACUGUAACCAGGAAAAUUAGAUAAAAUAACUAUUCCUUUUGUCCUUCGUAUAUUUCAUAUAUGGAAGGAUGAAAAGUCAGUACAUGGCUAUCAGUCUCUACAGAGGAAGGGAAAUAAUUUGUGCCUAGAUGUAUUAAUGCCUAACUGAAAUGUUUUACAUAUGUGAUUAUAAGAUACGUCAUUUACUUAAAAUGUGUAGUUAAUCUCCUUUCUUGCCUCACCUACAGACUAAAUGGCUUUAUUCCAGCAAAAUUAAGUCUGAAAAUAAUGUUCGCUGAUUUAGAUGUUGAUGACAGAUGGGUCUUAGGUCAGGAUAACAGCUAUGGCUGGGAGACAUUGAUUGUUAGCAUUUAUGCUCUGAUAAUGAAUGACCUGAAUUUUUCUCACAUGUUUGCUCAGGAAGCACAGGGCUGUGGAGGUCUUGACGUCAUAGAGGCAGAAGGAUUUGGGGCCAGAGUAUAUUCACUGCUGGCAGUCAUUCAUUAGUAAAUCCUUGGUAAGAGAGUUGAAUUUGAGUGACAUCUGGAGGCUUUCUAUACCUAGAGGUGGGGGAAUUCUGGAUUUGUAUUUUUUUUUCUGGUAAGCUAGAUUCAUCUUUUA